rnacentral:rRNA from 1 species
CGUAGAGAUCUGGAGGAAUACCGGUGGCGAAGGCGGCCCCCUGGACGAAGACUGACGCUCAGGUGCGAAAGCGUGGGGAGCAAACAGGAUUAGAUACCCUGGUAGUCCACGCCGUAAACGAUGUCGACUUGGAGGUUGUGCCCUUGAGGCGUGGCUUCCGGAGCUAACGCGUUAAGUCGACCGCCUGGGGAGUACGGCCGCAAGGUUAAAACUCAAAUGAAUUGACGGGGGCCCGCACAAGCGGUGGAGCAUGUGGUUUAAUUCGAUGCAACGCGAAGAACC